CCCGCUCGCCCCUUCGGAUAAAAGCUUAAAGCCGCCCGAGGAGCCCCUCGGGGCUUCCCCCGGCGUGGAGGCAGCACGGGGGCUCUGGGGGCAGGACGGGGACAGGAUCGGGGCAGCAGAGCCCCCACAGGACAGGAAGGGGGGGGACGAGUUGCCCCCUCUCUUCCUUGACAUCGCUCCCAGGUUCAGCUGCUGUCAGGGCUGAGGGGCUCCCUGACACCGCAACCCGGGACGAGUCCUUCCUUCAGCCUUUACAGCCUUCCUUCAUCUCACAUGUUCGUGGACCACACGCCUCUAGGCUUACAGCUUUGAUCAGACAUCCUGCUGCUGUAUUUUUCCAUCAUUCCAGCUUCUUGACAUAUUGACUUGCAUCGAGAGGGUGGUCCAUUAGAAGCUCAACAUCUGUCCAUGCUAAGUAUCAUAAAUAAAAAUCAGAUUUUUGAAUUUUGGAGUAUCUUGGACACAGAAGUUAAAUCUGAUUUCGGCAGACAGCACUGUUUUCUGGCUAUGCAAACUUAUCUCUGGGCAAACUAACCAUGGAAAUACAAGACCAAACCAGCGCUCAUGAGCCAACUUGUACUGAGUGCAGUGGCCAAAGCAAGGUAAUACCACGUGCUAACAAUGGAAAUGGGCAGAGUACAGACAAAACACUGGAAAAGACAAGUUUACUCUUUUGCCAUCUUCACAGUGGGACACAGCAGGCAAACUGUAGAGUAUGUGACAAAGGUGAGGCUUCCUCACAGGAGCUUCUCCAUUGAGAGAGAGCCAAUAUUAGGCACUAGACUGAAAAGUAAAAAGUAUUCAUA
rnacentral:lncRNA from 1 species